AUUUGUUAACCUGUAUUCUAUGCGUAUGUUGCUUUGACCCUUUGGUGUGGGAGGAGUUAAAGACAUGUGAUUAUACUGAGCAUGUGCAGACUCAAUACUCCAUUUUGUAUUCCAUAUCUGUGUAGACUUUAAUGGAAGCAAUCUCGCAGCAGACCUCACUGAAGGUGGAUGCAUGUAUGUGUUUGAUCUUCAAUGAAAGCAGGUUGCUGUUUGGACUUCAGUAGAGAAGUCUGUUUAGAGACUUCAAUGGAUACAGUACAAUUAUGGACUUCAUAAUUGCACAUAAUGACUAGGCGUGUGCAAAAAAACAGAAGUCUCGGAAACCGUAAGAAAAUCAGAAUUUUUAUAUUCUGGACUAUGGUUCCCAUCAGAUCCAAGCAACAUGGACAGUGUUAUGGGGAAAAUUGAGAUAAGAUCCAUGAUAUCUGGAUAGCAUCAUCUUGCAGUUGGAGUCACCAUGUGCAAAUGUAACCAGAGGUCUUGUAUCCUUACUAAUGGAAGAAGAGAGGGAACGUUGACUAGGGGCAUUUUUUUCCAACAACAAAACAACAUAAGGAAGUACAUCCACUAAAAUCCAUUCUUCUAAUACAGCUGUGAAAGUGUCCUGGUGUACUUUGAUUCUGUUUAUUCUUGUGAAAGGACAUGUUUGGAGUACAGAUGCCAAAGAACUUUGUGAUUCAUCUAGCCAGAUUAACUAUACUAUUUUUUAAAAAACAACUUCAAGUUCAGACCCUUCUUUCAGGUUAUGUUAAGAAUGCAGUUUAGCGCUUUGAUGUUUAUUUAUUUACUAGUGCAUAUAUCAGGCAUUGUCCCUCUGUCCUUUCUUCUUUCCUUUCUUUCCGUUCUUUUUCUCUUUCUUUCUUUCCUUCCUUUUUCCUUUCCUCUCAUACUCAAGUUACCUUUCUUACUCAGUGACAUCAAGGAGGGCCACUUCACCUAGCAACUGCCAAUCCAGUGACACCACAUUCCACCUAGCAACAGCCUUUGUGGUACAAACAGACAGACAAACAUACAUACAUACAUACAUAUA